AAUGAACUGGAAGUAUGCUAGUGAUGUGUAUCAGAAAGAAUGCCCUUAAGCUUGGAGCUCUUCCUUGAGCAUGGAGUUCUUUGUUUGAUCUGGGUUCUCUCUUGGGUUCAAGAGGCGAAUACCCUUGCAGCUUUUCACGCUGAAGUGACAAUAAAACGAUAAUUUGCAACUGAUGACAGACACCCUUUCUUUUGCAGUGAGUGUUACUUGUGUAUCCCUUAUGUGACAUCCAAAAUAAUAUUGGGGUUUAUGCUCUUUUUGUAUCUCACUAUGUGCACGG
rnacentral:lncRNA from 1 species